rnacentral:rRNA from 1 species
CCUACGGGUGGCAGCAGUGGGGAAUAUUGCACAAUGGGGGAAACCCUGAUGCAGCGACGCCGCGUGAGUGAAGAAGUAUUUCGGUACGUAAAGCUCUAGCAGCAGGGAAGAAAAAAAGUCCUUUGGACUUUGGUCGGUACCUGCCCAAGAAGAAACGGCUAACUACGUGCCAGCAGCCGCGGGAAUACGUCGGGGGCAAGCGUUAUCCGGAGUUACUGGGGUGAAAGGAGGGGUAGACGGGAGCUCAAGUCUGGAGUGAAAUGCCGGGGCCCAACCCCGGAACUGCUUUGGAAACUGGGCGUCUUGAGUGCAGGAGAGGUAAGCGGAAUUCCUAGUGUAGCGGUGAAAUGCGUAGAUAUUAGGCGGAACACCAGUGGCGAAGGCGGCUUACUGGACUGUAACUGACGUUGAGGCUCGAAAGCGUGGGGAGCAAACAGGAUUAGAUACCCCUGUAGUC